CGGGGGGCACCAGCAGUGGGGAAUCUUAGACAAUGGGCGCAAGCCUGAUCUAGCCAUGCCGCGUGAGUGACGAAGGCCUUAGGGUCGUAAAGCUCUUUCGCUGGGGAAGAUAAUGACGGUACCCAGUAAAGAAACCCCGGCUAACUCCGUGCCAGCAGCCGCGGUAAUACGGAGGGGGUUAGCGUUGUUCGGAAUUACUGGGCGUAAAGCGCGCGUAGGCGGAUCAGAAAGUUGGGGGUGAAAUCCCGGGGCUCAACCCCGGAACUGCCUUCAAAACUCCUGGUCUUGAGUUCGAGAGAGGUGAGUGGAAUUCCGAGUGUAGAGGUGAAAUUCGUAGAUAUUCGGAGGAACACCAGUGGCGAAGGCGGCUCACUGGCUCGAUACUGACGCUGAGGUGCGAAAGCGUGGGGAGCAAACAGGAUUAGAUACCCUCGUAGUC
rnacentral:rRNA from 1 species